CUAACGGAUCUCCUAAGAUCCACCUAGAUAUAGAAAAAAACAGGA
rfam:Picea glauca, whole genome shotgun sequence.